AGGAAUUGAAAGGCAAAAGGGUAUACCCCUUAUUUCACGUACAACCAAAGGGAGAAAUCCCUAAUUUCCUCUUCUCAUCUUCUUCUAGCAGCAGCGCCCUGACCAAAGGGGUUGCCAAUGGCCGAAGCCCAGCUGACCGAAAACGUCUCGACGAUGGCACAUUUCUAAGGUCGUGUCCCGUUUUCGAAGUCUCUUGCUGGUUUGCUGUGGUUCUCUUCACCUUUAAUCCAUUUCCUUUUCUUCUUCAGCUAUGGCGAUAGAUUUUAGACCAUCAUCUCAGUUUCAUCAUGGAUGGUUUGUGAGACUGGAGGAUUUCAAAAGGAGAAGGACCUCUCAAAAAUGGAAGGAGUAUUUUCGGAUGAACUUUCAAUACUUUUUUGUUUUCGGUGAUGUUGGAAACAGGGAGAGACCUAUAAGGUUUAGAUUUGAUUGGGUUUUUAUGGCUGAUGAGUUGCUGGAGAUUACUCUCCCUUUUGUGAUUUUUUUGCACUGUUGGUUUAUAAGGAAAUGGGGAAAUGUAUGCAUUGUAUAUGUCGCUUUCUGAUUGCAUAGUACUACUUAUAUGCGUGUGAUGUUUGGCAAAUAAUUAUUCUCUUUGUAUAUGUGUGUUGUAGAUGCAUUCUGAUGGAAUUGUGUCUAUGUGUCAUGUGUGUGUUUCGGUAGGGUAUGUGUGUGUUUAGGUAGGAUAUGCAUGUGUACCAUCUGUGAUAGCUUUUUCGGCUCCCUUUUCUGAUGGUUAUGUGGUACUGAGUAUGGUUGAUUGUGUACAUUGCUCUCUCGUGUGUGUCGUGUGAUAACUCUCUCCUAUUUUGUUGUGUUGUAUGUGAGCGAUGUGUCUUUUUUCUCUGCUAACUUUUUCUGUGUGAAUCCCCCUUAGAAUCCAGUGGGUUUUUGGAAAGUCAUACGUAUUUCUUGGGGUUUGGAGAAGGGGAGGACCCUUCUAUCAUUGGUUUUCAACAUUGCACCCACAACCUAUUUUAUUAUUGUGUGAGAAGCUAAUGAAAAUUCUUUGAUGGGUAGUAUAUGAUUUUAGAGGUUUUCUCACAACAAGUUGAGGAGGAAGGUGCUGUGAUUUGAGAGAUAAAG
rnacentral:lncRNA from 1 species